GACGAACGCUGGCGGCGUGCUUAACACAUGCAAGUCGAACGGAAAGGCCUGCUUUCCCUUGUGGAUUGCGGGUACUCGAGUGGCGAACGGGUGAGUAACACGUGAGUGAUCUGCCCCCAACUUGGGUAUAAGCCUGGGAAACUGGGUCUAAUUCCCGAUAGGACUGCAGGGUGGUGCCUGUGGUGGAAAACGAUUUUCUAGUGGUUGGGGAUGAGCUCGCGGCCUAUCAGCUUGUUGGUGGGGUAAUGUCCUACCAAGGCGGCGACGGGUAGCCGGCCUGAGAGGGUGGACGGCGCAAUUGGGACAGAGAUACGACCCAGACUCGUGCGGGAGGCAGGAGUGGGGAAGCUAGGGGCGUGGGCGGAAGGGUGAUGCAGCGAGGCAGCGUGGGGGAUGACGGCAUUCGGGUUGUAAGCUACUUUCGACCGAGAGGAAGCCAACUGGUUGGACGCGUGGUGACGGUAGUGGUAGAAGAAGCACCGGCUAACUACGUG
rnacentral:rRNA from 1 species